rnacentral:rRNA from 1 species
GCCUUCCCGGUGAGUCUGCGGGCUUAAACGGACGCGGUAAAGCGUGCUAAGGUAGCUAAAUUAUGGCCUAUUAAUUGUAGGUCCUGUGAAUGGUUUGACGAGUCUUCAACUGUCUCUAGUUUUUUUGGUGAACUUGAAUUGGAUGUGCAAAUGCUUCCAUGGGUAAGAAAGACGAGAAGACCCCGUGAAGUUAGAAAUUUUGGUUGUUGGUGAGCUUUGUUGGGUGUAGGUUAGGCCACUUUGAGUGGUUUGAAAGAAAAGUGAACAGCGAUAGUUUUGGCUGGGGCAGCAAAGAAGCAAGGUUAGACUUCUUUAGUUUAAGGACAGGUGUGUGACGACCCACAAGUUUGUUGGUGUGAUUAGCAGAAGAAGUUACUCCGGGGAUAACA